ACACCUCAACUCUCACGGUUUUUCCAUGAUGAGCUUGGACUUUGGGGGUCUUGCUGGCCUGCGGUCGGCUCCUCUCGAAUGAAUCAGCUUGCCAGUGUCUGGUGGCAUCACAGGUGUGAUAACUAUCUACGCUUGUGGUUUUCCACCAGGUAACCUUCAGUGAUGGAGGUUCGCUGGAGCUAAUAAACGUCUCUCCUCAGCGAGGACAGCUUCUUGAAC
rnacentral:misc_RNA from 1 species